rnacentral:rRNA from 1 species
AUGAACGCUAGCUAUAGGCUUAACACAUGCAAGUCGAGGGGAAACGGCAUUAUGUGCUUGCCCAUUUUGGACGUCGACCGGCGCACGGGUGAGUAUCGCGUAUCCAACCUGCCCUUUACUUGGGGAUACCCCGUUGAAAGACGGCCUAAUACCCGAUGUAAUUCAUUGAUGGCAUCAGAUAUGAAUAAAAGAUUUAUCGGUAAAGGAUGGGGAUGCGUCUGAUUAGCUUGUUGGUGAGGUAACGGCUCACCAAGGCGACGAUCAGUAGGGGUUCUGAGAGGAAGGUCCCCCACAUUGGAACUGAGACACGGUCCAAACUCCUACGGGAGGCAGCAGUGAGGAAUAUUGGUCAAUGGGCGCAAGCCUGAACCAGCCAAGUAGCGUGCAGGAAGACGGCCCUAUGGGUUGUAAACUGCUUUUAUACGAGAAUAAUUUGAUGCACGUGUGCGUUAUUGCAUGUAUCGUAUGAAUAAGGACCGGCUAAUUCCGUG